GACAGAGGGUGCAAACGUUGUUCGGAAUUACUGGGCGUAAAGGGCGGGUAGGCGGCAAGGCAAGUCGGAUGUGAAAGCCCACGGCUCAACCGUGGAAGUGCACCCGAAACUGCCUAGCUAGAGUCUCGGAGAGGAAGGUGGAAUGCUUGGUGUAGGGGUGAAAUUCGUAGAUAUCAAGCGGAACACCGGUGGCGAAGGCGGCCUUCUGGACGAUGACUGACGCUGAGACGCGAAAGCGUGGGGAGCAAACAGG
rnacentral:rRNA from 1 species